ACUCAAAGGAAUAGACGGGGGCCCGCACAAGCGGUGGAACAUGUGGUUCAAUUCGACGCAACGCGAAGAACCUUACCUGGGCUUGAACCGCUGGUGACCAACGGUGGAAACAUCGUCUUCCCGCAAGGGACACCAGUAGAGGUGCUGCAUGGCUGUCGUCAGCUCGUGCCGUGAGGUGUUGGGUUAAGUCCCGCAACGAGCGCAACCCUUACUCUUAGUUGCCACCCGCAAGGGGGAACUCUAAGAGGACUGCUCCGGAUAACGGAGAGGAAGGUGGGGAUGACGUCAAGUCAGCACGGCCUUUAUGUCCAGGGCUACACACGUGUUACAAUGCACGGUACAGAUCGUCGCGAACUCGCAAGGGGGAGCUAAUCGACAAAACCGUGCUCAGUUCGGAUUGCAGUCUGCAACUCGACUGCAUGAAGCCGGAAUCGCUAGUAAUGGCGUAUCAGAACGACGCCGUGAAUACGUUCCCGGGCCUUGUACACACCGCCCGU
rnacentral:rRNA from 1 species